UUUAUACGGAACGUUAUAAUAAAUACGAUCUUUUUUAUCGUUCUUCUCUCUUUACGAACAAACGUUUGAGUGAAAUGAUUUCAAAUAAAAUCGAAGAUAUUCAAAUCAGAUUUCACGAAGAUCGAAAGAAUGAUCUCCGAUUGUUGGAACUUGUUCGUUUCGAUCUGUUCGAAAAAUAACUAUCUUACCUGAGAAUUCUCUAUCGUAAGACGUGACGAAAAAUCUUUCGAUGUAUCUACAAAUUAUAGGACGUCUAUGGGAAAAGAAAAAAGAAAAAAAUAUGUUACAAGUUUAUCUCAACAUCGCUGUUAAGCACUUUGAUUCUUACUACUAACGUUCUACUUUUCACAGAUUAAAGGAGGUUCUUAAAGAAAUGAUUUACGAGCAACACACCCGGUGUGGUAUUUAAACGACGAAGGAUCCACCCUCCCCUCCUUUCGUAUACCCUUUUCGUAUACCACUGCUUCACUUCUGUGCCAGCCACGUUGAAAAGUGUUUUCCGCAUUAUGAAGAUACGAGGUUAUAUUAUUAUUACGGACUUGCGAGCGGAGGCUCAAGCGCGCAACACUUUCCGCCUUGCGAGAGCUAAUUAAGCGCGUCUUGAUGUAAUAACGACCUAAAUGCAGAUGGAGAGACUCUUAUUCCUAAAAUUAAGUGCACUAGGGUCGUCCAAUGAAAAUCACCGGAUGGACCAUACUUUAGCUUCAUUUUCGUGCUCACUUCGAACUUUGCAAAUGACUUAACGAAUGUCGUAAGCACUCGUUCGUUCAAAUGAAACGAUUAUAACGAGUUUCAUUGGUCGUUUCAUUUUCAAAAUGAUGUUUCAUUCUAAAGAGUAAUCGGCAAUUCCAAGUCGACAGAUACGACAGAGCACUUGUACGAGUAAAGUCAAAUUCCAAAGUUGCAAAUCGCUACGUCCGAGAUGGUCGAAGCGGACGGUCUUAAUUAUAACGUCUCAAGUAACGAGGGUUGGCAUGGGUCGCGACGUUAAUAUAUGGGUAAGAGAACCUAAACACAGCCGUGCCAUUGUACGUACCGCGGUGUUGGAUCUGCCAAGGCAUUAAUAGUCUCACGUGACGUAAUUAACUCGCGACCACCGAAUUUCCGGCGUUAUAACGUGAUGUAUAUUGUGGCGAAGAGGGUGUGUUCUCUCUCUCUCUCUCUCUCUCUCUCCUUUCCUUCCUCCCCUCUCACCCUCUAUCUCUCUCUUUGUUGUUUUGUUUCAGAAGAUUCAGAAUUCGUCGAGCGAUUAUGAAUCAAGUAGGAUUCGUAUGGCCACCUGUCGCUUGGAUACCGAUAGACGUUGCAAUCCAGGUUGAUCCUAACGCUAUACAACUACCGAAGACCUUUAAAUCUUACCGAUUACGCGCGUAUACUUUACAAAAUAGAAGAGUACAGAAAAUGCGGCACAUGCAUAUUUAUUUUCUCUACUAUAAAUAUAUGUAUGUAUAUACACAUACGAGUUACACGAGAUAUACGGGCAGUAGUUAUGUAUUUACAGGCACGAGACAAGUGUUUCAAAAGAUACCGAUCGAUAUAUAUAUAUCCUUUUUGAUUUUUAAUGGCCACGUAAUACGAUUUUGGCUAGGAAACUACGAUUUUAGUAACUCGUUCAUCGCACAAUUACGUCCAUGAUGUAACCUUAGGAAAAAUAAUUGCAACAGCUACAACGGGUGACGCAAGUAUUUCGGAUAUUUCGAGUAGACGCGUACUCGAAUUUAUCUUGUAAAAAGGAUCGAAAGAAGGACGCUUAAUGUAACAAAGAUCAUUGUAGAAAGCGAAGAAAAUGAGGAUGCUCCGUUACAAGAAUCUUCGGAGCAAGAACAUUCUUGCCAAUAAAUUCCAUUCUCGUAGACCCCCCAAUUACAGACACCUGUAACUCCGGUACUGGAGACAGAUGCACACCUUCGUAUCACUUGCCGCCAUCUACCGUUCCCUUUAAGAAUGACAAAUGAGUAAACAUAAAGGCAAAACGUCGUAGACCAAUAAAAAUAAUAGAGUAAAAACUAAAGUGAAUUUGGAAAAGAAGUUUAUAAAACAUUGAAAUUGAUCGAAGCACGUUUUAAGGAAUAUUAAUCAAAUCGAAGAAAAAUCUAUCGACGAAAAGUGAACACGUAUGAACUCACAUAUGAAGCCACGAGGACUUUGCUGCGUCAACUUAACGCAAAACGUGCCAGGCGUAUGAGAUUCGUCGCUACUGCAUUCCACCGGAAUGUUCCUUUCCUUGUCGAAUUUUCCAUAAGCUCCACAAAGAUCUUCAUCUUUUUGAUCGAUCAGGAAAUUCGAAAGUAAAACACGUAGGGCGCUGCUGUUUCCCAAGAUGGUUAUGCCUCGGCAUUCACGAACGGCCAUUGUUCGUGAAUAGCGUCACGAUUCACUCACGAUAUUUGACUUCUGCGACGAUUUUAUUCUUACCUAUCGUCACGAAUAAUAACAGCGUACAAAUUGUGCUCACGAUACUCUUAUCGAUCGCCAUUUUGACGCCUCGCGACAAAGGAUUUUUCGAUUUCCUUGAAGAACGCGGUCGGCACGCUGCGACGAUCGUGUAUACACUGUACGUACCUGACGUCAUUCAUUGGGUGUUGGUUGGUGUGAGGAAUGGCGAUGACUGUAAACUCCCCUCCCCACUACUUGCGAUGUCUCGUAGUAGCGAGUACGUAUUCAGGCCCGUAGCUAGUAACAUCGAUGCCCUCGUCGAUAUAAACAAUCAUGUUUUCAUGAUUUUUUUUUUUAACGCAACGAAUAUUUUCGAUUGGAAAACAAAAAGGAAAAGACUGAAGAGAUUUAAUUUUAUAAUGAAAGUGAUAUAUACGAAGUAAAUGAUAUACAAAGAAGAAAUUUGUACGUACAUCGUGUAAUACGUGUAAGAAAGAAGACUUAAGAACUAUACUAUUGGAAUUUAUGAUAAAAGAAGAUUGUAUAAAAAAUGAAUAACGAUGAAAUAUCAAACGUGAAGAAGAUAGAUUAUCCCUGAUGUUCCAGUUGAAGAGACUAUUUCAGCAAUGGGAACGUAUUCGUCAAAGGGAAACUUUCCGAAUUAAGAUAAGAGAGACGAGGGAGAUUUGCGAGUACGUGUCUGAAAGCGAAGAGUUCGUGUUACCUUAAUAAUCAUCACGAGAGAUUUGGAGAACGGAAGUGAAGCGGUAAUAAGAGAGGACAAAAGGUACGACGUUAUUACCGGCGGCAGUGAGUCGUGACUGGUCCCAAAGGAUGUCUCCUUACAAGGCUAGACGGAACUGUAAUUGUGUCUUAUCUGUCUUGUGUUCGCCUUUCCGCAUUAGCUUUCAUCAAACGUCUCCAAAAUAAAAAUCUUAUCUCGUAAAUGGUUAAAUAAUUAAAGUUUAUUUUUCCUUCUUUAUUCGCGACUUUAUUAAGAUCAAAAAGCAAAGAAAUCAAGGCUAAACUUGUUGACCGUGAUUACAAAAUCAAGGUCAAGUUAAAUUUCCUGUUUAUAGUCGAUGUUCACUGAUAGCGAUCAUGCCUUUCUGACUCCGAAAAGACAGGCUCGCUGGCACGAUCGAUAAAUUAUUCAAAACGACCCUCUAUGAUCUAUGAAGGCGCCCUUAAGGCUGGCACCAACGAUCUAUCCUCCCUUCCUCUUGCCACUCCUUUCUCUCGUCCAUUCGUUCCUCAACACAUCCGCUCCUCUCUCGUUCCCUCUGCCAUUUCCUCAUCCCUCUGGCAGCAACAUCACCCCGAGGGAAUUCCUACUUUUCUGACAGCCGCCGCCGCAUUUAUCCCAUCCAGCAUUUUCAGACAAGCUUUCAAAGGAAGCCCAGAAUCCAAUAAUUCCGAUAACGGGAGACUCUCUUUCGUCUAUACGGGGUGUCCGAAUAAUUACGUUCCUGUCCACGUGUCAUCGCCAAGUUUCAGUAGAGAAGGCAAUCGAUUGAAUCAAACUUGAAUCUUCUUCACGUCUACUUCUUUUUCAAGGAUAGUAGACGAUCUUAACGAACGGCUACUCUCGAUGAAGAUAAUUACUCGUUCUUGGCCACCCAGUAUCGGGCAAAAGUAAGCGACCCUUCGGCAAGGGCAGGAAGAAACGUGGCUCUACGCCAAAUGGAUCUGAAGGGCAACUGUCGCGAGAUAAAAGAUAACUCAUCGAGACGUCGGUGUCCGUCGAGUCGAUUUAAAACGAUUUUAUCGAUGGACCAACCGCCGCACCUUUAACGUUAAAUGAGUUAUACGAUCCUGGUCUAACGAUGCAAAGGGUUCCCUUCUUCUCCCUUUUCCGACCUUCGAAAGUAUAUAGAGAAGAUCUCCUCUGUCAAAGCUGUUAUCGGAGAUCCUUUCUUGUUGACUUCGAUAGAAAGUAAAAGUCCAACGAUAAAAUAAUUCGAAAAUCGAAUACGACUUAUCGUAGAGAUAAUUUUUUAAAGAAACGAAUUAUUUCGCAUACUCUGAAUGUUUCCACGAAUUAAUUCCAAUUCAAUAUGAUUUGACACUUUGUAAGAACCAAAAUAACUGGAAUAUCACGCGCGAUUUCCCGCAUAAUGUAGAUAUCAGACAACGAUACGGAUUUACAUCGAAUGACGCACGUGUUCGUAUGCGAAAUAGCAUUAUUUCAAAAUAGAGAAUUCGUUAAAUGUACCUACGUGUAUUACUGACUCUUGGACGAAUAAAUCUACAGAUUUGUU